UUAAAGGUUUUUUUCAAAACCAUUUCCUGUAUCUAACAGUAUAUU
rfam:Ailuropoda melanoleuca scaffold579_6, whole genome shotgun sequence.